UUAGCCAUUUUGGUUCAUCCCCGAGUCUUUGCCAUCUUCAAGAUUUCUGACCUCUUCCAUGGCGCAUGGGAUUCUAGGGUUUUCACUCUUCUUUCGGUAUUUUGCAUUUAUAUGCGACAUUGUUGACAUUACAUUUUCCUUUUUUAUUCUUCUUUCUUUUGCAUCUUCUCUGCUAUAUUGAUCGUCAUUAUUUGUAUAUAAUAGCUCUGCCAUUAUAUGUUUUUCUUUUGGCGGAGAACAAUAUUUUCUUUCUUUAUGGACAAGAUUUCUUCUCAUCUGAAACUUGGUGACUGGAAGCAGAGUAAUCUCUGCAAACCCAACCAACAGUUGCAUUCGGAGGCUUCUUCCUUUCUUCUUUCUAGUCUUCAAUGGAAAGAUUUGGAACCGCACUUCCAUUCCGCUCAAGCGAUGAUUCGGACGCAGUACCAGCAGCUUGAGCGACCGGGAGAAGGCCAUCGCGUUGAAAGAAUCACGGUUUGAUGAUGGAGAAAUCAUUACAAGCGCGCUCAGAGAAUGUCAAGAAAGAAGGAGUCUAUUUGGAAAUACGGACAGAGCAGGUCGAGAAAGAAUAUGAGAAAGGGAGGAUAUUCCUAAAGGAGAUUGAAUCUUUAAAAGCUGACAUGGGUUCAUAGAUGUUCUUGCUGGAAAAAGUUCGGGAAGAACUAAGAUUAAAGGGGAAACCACACAAGGUACCGGCUGACGAACUUGAGUCAAAAGAAAAAUAUAUUAGAGCUUUGAUGAACAAAUGUAAUGAAAAGGCUAAUAAAGAGGUGGAAUUGGAUUUAGCCCAAGAGAGAUUAGGAGUUUUGUCGAAGGAUAUUAAAUUGAAAGAAAACGAGUUUAAUAAAGUAUGCACUAGAUUCUUGGAUGUUGAGAAGGAGUUCGAGGAAAAGGAGAAGGUUUUUGAUCAGCUCAGCAUGGAUCCAAACGAGAAGAGAUUAUAUUUACAUCUAAACAAGAAGUUGACUGGACCGAAAUUGAUUACCAUGUGUAAUUUUAUUCAUUCUCAAACAGUCUUCAGACACCUGCAAAACUUUGAUUCAAGGUUCUUUUCACCAAUAGUUGAAGAAAGAACAGCUAGGCUUUCAAGAAAGUUUCUUGAGGUGGCCCACACUUCUAUUAUGACAAUUAAAGCUAAUCUCACCAAUUAUUGGUCGAGAGGAAAGAGAAGAUGCCAUGAAGCUUGCAGUUGACUGGAAAUUCAACAUGAGAAGUGAUACAAAUGGGUCUAUGGACGGAUGCUGUUGGCUUCUUGCAACUUCUACUUCUUUCAUAUGGAUUGCGAGGAUGAGCUUUUAAAGCACUUUGAGCACAUAGUGCUUCAUGAACAGGCAUUGGAAUUGUGCCUCUCAUGUUCGGGUAUAAGCAAAAGAUACAAGAAAUUGUACAAAAGCUUAUUGGAACAAAUCAAUUUAUUAAGGCUGUCAGGUCUAUAUGUGGAUAUAAGUUGGAAUGCUUUCGACAUGUACACAUUCUGAACGAAUAUUUACGAGAUGCUAAAAAUGCCAAGUAAAAGCCAGCAAGAAGAAGAAUACAGGUCAGGAAGAUGUACGUGCUGCCGUGCUUCACUUGAAGAGAUGAGAAGGUCGAAAUGCAACAAUCAUGGUCAACCAACUCAUUCGAUGACUCAGCAACCACAACUAUCUAAGGCCAAUUUCAAAGCACAACUAUCAAAUCCGACCAACGGUGAAAUGAAACCAUUGCAUUCAGAGCAACCCCGACAGCAGCAUCCUCUGCAGAAGAAACACAGAAAUACCCUUGACAGCCUCCUCCACUGUAUGCUCCUCUUUAAGAUCAAGCUCUUCAGUCUGCAAUUUUAUACUCUUUUCCAUCUUGUGUAAUUGUCUUUCUUUCCAUUUGUCAAUCAUAUCUCGAAUUGUCUCAAGCUCCUCUUUUUGUUCGAGUUCUCCAUUGCUCUCUUUAAUCGUCUGUACAAUCAUACUAAAAUCUGUAAACAGUAUAUAAACAUUCCUCAAGUUCUUUACUAUGUUCCUUAUACACGUUUUGAUGGAUUCUAAUUCUGAUUCAUGUGAUAACACAUGUCUUCAAAAAGAGCCUUCAACUUGCUCUCCAUUGCACCAAACUCCUCUUUAAGAUCAAGCUCUUUAGUCUGCACUUUUAUAGUCUUCUCUAUCUUGUCUAAUCUUCUCUCUUUCCACCUAGUGGCGAUCAUAUUUUGAAUUGUAUCGUGCUCCCUUUCUUUCAGUUUGCAUUCUCCAUUGCUCUCUUUAAUUGCCAUCUAGAUUGCAUCAUAUUGCUUCUCCUUGAUUGCAAGCUCUUCUUCAUGUUCUUGAAACAAUGCUCUUAUCGAUUCAACACUCUUCUGCUAGAACUCACAUUCCAUCGAUCGCUCUUCGGUUAACUACAUUAUGCCAUUUAAUUUUUGUUCUUUUAAUUCCAUCACAUGUUCACAGUGGUCAAUCCUCUUUCAAACCACAUCAAAAGCCCCUUCUCCUUUUCCUCAAACUCCUCACUUCUCAUGUUGAAUUUCCAGUCAACUGCAAGCUUCAUUGCAUAUUCUCUUUCCUUUGGACCAAUAAUGGGUGAGAUCUGCUCUAAUUGUCUUGAAAAGAAGUGUGGACCACCUCAAGAAACUUUCUUCCAGGCCCAGUUGUUCUUUCUUCAACUGUUGGUCAAAAGAACCUAAAAAUCAGAUUCAAGACAAGUUUUGCAGGGUCUGAAGACUGUUUUAAGAACGAAUAAAAUUAUACAUGGUAUCAAUUUCGGUCCAGUCAACUUCGUGUUCAGGUGGAAAUAUAAACCCUUCUCGUUUGGUUCCAUGCUAAGUUGAUCAAAAUCCUUCUCCUUUUUCGCGAAUUCAAUCUCAACGUCCAAGAAUCUCGUGCAUACUUUAUCAACCUCGUCUUCUUUCAAUUUAAUAUCUUUCGACAAAACUCCUAAUCUCUCUUGGGCUAAAUUCAAUUCCACCUCUUUAUUAACCUUUUCAUUAUAUUUGUUCAUCAAACCUCUGACUAGAUUGAUAUGUUUUUUUUUUUACUCAAGUUCGUUAGCCAAUACCUUGUGUUGUAUUUCCUUUAACCUUAGUUCUUCCCUGCCUUUUUCCAGCAGUAAUAUCUGUGAAUCCAUGUCAGCUUUUAAAGAUUCAAUCUCCUUUAGGAACGUCCUCCCUUUCUCAUAUUGUUUCUCGAGCUGCUCUCUUCGUCUUUCCAAAUAGACUUCUUCUUUCUUGACAUUCUCUGAGCGCGCUUGUAAUGAUUUCUCCGCAUCAUCAAACCACGAUUCCUUCAAUGCGAUGACUUUCUCCCAUUGCUCAAACUCUUGGUACUAGAUCCGAAUCAUCUCUUGAGCAGAAUGGAAGUGAGAUUCCAAAUCUUUACAUUGAAGACUAAAAAGAAGAAAGGAAGAAGCCUCCGAAUGCAACUGUUCAUGGGUUUGCAGAGAUUACUCUGCGUCCAGUCCCCAAGUUUCAAAUGAGAAGAAAUCUUCUCCAUCUGGGACAAGAUUCUCUUUGAAAAAAAAGAACAUAUAACACAACUAUUAAAUACAAAUAAUGGCCACCAAUAUGCCAGAGAAGAAGUAAAAAAAAGAACAAGAAUGAAGGUAACAGGAAACGUUAAUGUUAACUAUAUUGCUGUGAGUGUAAAACACAGUACUGAAACCGGGUGAAAAUCCUAGAAUCAUGACGUGGAAGAAGUUCAGAUAUCAGAAGAUGGAGAGUGAUGAAUAAAAAUGGCAAAUCCUGUGUUUGCUUUUCCCCUACCAAUCCCCAUAUAUAUAUACAAAAGAAGAAGCAAAGAAUUCCAAAUAAAUCAAGAAAAAUUAUCAUUAGUUAAUUAUUUAUCUUUUUUCUCUAGUUAACUGUUGUAUUGCGAUCAUAAAUGUUAGGAUGAAUUAUAAAAUUUAAAUUUAUCCGUUUAACUCUGAUAAUUUAGCAUUUUUUUUCACUUGGUGGCUUAAAAUUUAUAGGUUAAGAUAUGAUAUUGUAUCUAUAGUUUGGUUCCUACAUUUUAAUUCUCGAAGUUUGAGUACUUUCAAUGUUGUCAAGAAGUCGAUAAUUUAAAAAAAAAUCGAGCAAAAGGAUUUCUGUCAUCGGCUGUUGUGGAUAAAUUUGGACUAGAAAACAAAAUAGACGUUUCGAUAUGGAAUAUCAGACCAUAAUUUAAUUCUUAUGUUAAUUUUGUUAUAAUUUUAUAAUUUGUUAAUUUGAUGAUUAUCAACUUUUGUAGCUUGUUUUUACAUUUUUUUUCUAUUUAUUAAUUUUUAUGUGUGGUUUAGUUAGGAAAAUUGCAAAAAGAAAAAAAAAAUGUAAGUUUUUAAUUUCGUUUUAUUUUUAAAAUGUCUAUACCAUUUGGGUGUGAGCUACAUUUGGCAUUGUUUUAAAAAUUUCGAAACUAGCCAGUUAAAAAAAUUAGCUAUUUGAAGUAUUGGAUUAAAAAGAAGGAUGAAAAGAGUUAAGGAAGGCCCAAGAAGGAAAUGUAGCCCAUACCACCAGUCGAGUCGAGCCUAAAGAAACCCUAGGGUUUCAAUAGGUCUUUGGAGCCUUGGGGAGAUCAAAUUCCAAAUAGGAUCAAGGAAUGAGAAAGAUUAUAAAUAAAUCAUAAGAUAACUGACUUAAGCAUCGGAGCUCUUUUUUUUUUGUUUUGCAGGUCUUCUCUUGCUCAUACAAAUUUAUCCUUGAUGUGUCACAUGAACGCCGGGUGUAUCUUUCCUGUCCAAAAUAGGUCUUCGAGCCUUGGGGAGAUUUCGAUUCCAAAUAGGAUCAAGGAAUGAGAGAGAUUAUAAAUAGGUCAUACCAACACUAGAGGAGGUAAUUGAUAGUUCUGAUUUCUUUUCUACAUUAUAGUUCACACACUGACUUAGGUAUCAAUGCCAUUUUUCUUUGUUUUGUAGGUCUUUUCUUCCUCAAAUUACAAAAUUACAGGUGAUGUCACGUGAAGGCUAGGUGUAUCUUUCCUUUCCAAAAUUUGACAUCAACAAUUGAUGUUGUCGUGAGAAACAAAUUGUUAUAUUGAUAAUAUGCAUACUUUACAAGGCAGUUUCAACUUGUCGGACAACCCUCCACAUGAAGCAGUGGUAUAGACUAUGCCUAGGAGUCUGAGUCGAGGCUAAGGCGAUUAAUGUUAAGUUCGAGUUGAGGCCGAGGCGACCAAUAUCAAGUUCAAAUUGAGGAUGAUGUGAGCAAUAUUGAGGCCAAGAAGACCCAGUUGAAGUGAAAAGCAAAGGUCAAGACUACAGAGAUGGAGGAUUAGAAUAAAGAGUAAAGACCGAAGCUGAGGAGACCAAAUUGAAGCGAAGAGCAAAGACCGAGGCUGAUAAGACCAAGUUGAAGCAAAGAACAAAUGACUAAAAUAAAACAUUUCCUACAUAUCUGGGGAUAAAAAUAAUUGUUCAAUUUAAAAUAAACUUAAAAUCUUAAGGGUUAAAAGUGUAAUUCUUCCUAAAUUAACUUAUAAUAGACACACUUUUCUGGUAAGAAAAUGUAUAUUUUGAGAGAUUUAGUA